rnacentral:rRNA from 1 species
GACGAACGCUGGCGGCGUGCUUAACACAUGCAAGUCGAGCGGUAAGGCCCUUUCGGGGGUACACGAGCGGCGAACGGGUGAGUAACACGUGGGUGACCUGCCCUCAGCUCUGGGAUAAGCCUGGGAAACCGGGUCUAAUACCGGAUAUGACUCCAUGACGCAUGUUGUGGGGUGGAAAGCCUUGUGCGGCUGAGGAUGGGCCCGCGGCCUAUCAGCUUGUUGGUGGGGUGAUGGCCUACCAAGGCGACGACGGGUAGCCGGCCUGAGAGGGCGACCGGCCACACUGGGACUGAGACACGGCCCACGACUCCUACGGGAGGCAGCAGUGGGGAAUCUUGCGCAAUGGGCGAAAGCCUGACGCAGCGACGCCGCGUGAGGGAUGACGGCCUC